rnacentral:rRNA from 1 species
AACCGAGUCUUAACCGGGCGUUAAGUUGCAGGGUAUAGACCCGAAACCCGGUGAUCUAGCCAUGGGCAGGUUGAAGGUUGGGUAACACUAACUGGAGGACCGAACCGACUAAUGUUGAAAAAUUAGCGGAUGACUUGUGGCUGGGGGUGAAAGGCCAAUCAAACCGGGAGAUAGCUGGUUCUCCCCGAAAGCUAUUUAGGUAGCGCCUCGUGAAUUCAUCUCCGGGGGUAGAGCACUGUUUCGGCAAGGGGGUCAUCCCGACUUACCAACCCGAUGCAAACUGCGAAUACCGGAGAAUGUUAUCACGGGAGACACACGGCGGGUGCUAACGUCCGUCGUGAAGAGGGAAACAACCCAGACCGCCAGCUAAGGUCCCAAAGUCAUGGUUAAGUGGGAAACGAUGUGGGAAGGCCCAGACAGCCAGGAUGUUGGCUUAGAAGCAGCCAUCAUUUAAAGAAAGCGUAAUAGCUCACUGGUCGAGUCGGCCUGCGCGGAAGAUGUAACGGGGCUAAACCAUGCACCGAAGCUGCGGCAGCGACACUGUGUGUUGUUGGGUAGGGGAGCGU